rnacentral:lncRNA from 1 species
GCCAGGUAUAAGGGGCACCAAAUGGUUACCCACAGGACAAAAUGAAAGAAAUGAAACUUCAGAUCCAGAAUGAAGUGACCUCCUCUCGGCCUUCCAGAGCCUGGAUUCCUACAGAGCCGACCCCACAGCACCCGUGGUUGGGACAGAAGGGGACUCCGGAGCCCGGGCCUUCUCUGCCUGAGCCGCAGGAGGCUGCGUCUGUGCCUCAGAGGCCUGCGUCCUUAGGCAGAUUCCCUGGCACUGUGCCUCUCUCUCUGCGCAGAGUGAACUCACAAUUAAGUAUCCGCUCCCAUAACAGAACCCCUUCCCGGUUAGUCAGGACUGUGGGUUUUCUGAACCCACCUUCCCCAGCUGAUUUGAAUUCAAGUUGAAAAAUCUGACCCUCACAAACAGGUUUUUAAAACUUGUUCCCAGGUUUGGCUGGGGAAAUCUGCUUAAAGUCCCAGAAAAAACAAACAAAACAAAACAAAGCACAAUGGCUAUUUUAUUUUUAUUAAGUUGAGCCCGGAGUGGGUAUCAGGACCUGCUGGGUGGCAGGACACAGGGGCGAGUGGGA